rnacentral:rRNA from 1 species
AGAGUUUGAUCAUGGCUCAGAGUGAACGCUGGCGGCGUGCUUAACACAUGCAAGUCGAACGAGAACGGCUCUAGCUUGCUAGAGUGUCAGCUAAGUGGCGGACGGGUGAGUAAUGUAUAGCUAACGUGCCCCUUGGAGAGGGAUAACAGUUGGAAACGACUGCUAAUACCUCAUACUCCUUCUAUGUUAAUCAUAGUUGGGAAAUGUUUUUUCGCCAAGGGAUCGGGCUAUAUGGUAUCAGGUAGUUGGUGGGGUAAGAGCCUACCAAGCCAAUGACGCCUAGCUGGUCUGAGAGGAUGAUCAGCCACACUGGAACUGAGACACGGUCCAGACUCCUACGGGAGGCAGCAGUGGGGAAUAUUGCACAAUGGGGGAAACCCUGAUGCAGCAACGCCGCGUGGAGGAUGACGCAUUUCGGUGUGUAAACUCCUUUUAUAUGGGAAGAUAAUGACGGUACCAUAGA